rnacentral:lncRNA from 1 species
CUUGGGCUUUCUUCGACGAUGAUUAUUAUUAUCCACGUCGGAAUUGGUGGAACGUUCUGAUUGGGCCUGGGCUGCAAGGAGAGGCUGGAGGCGUUCGCGGAGGCAUGAAGCGCACACGCCGAUGGUGCUUGUGAGGUCCGGUAAGUGUUUCUUACACCUCAUUGUCUGCGUUUUAUUUAAAAUACGACACCGUUUUUGUUUAUAUUGUGAAACCGAUGAUGUCGUAGUGAGUUCUGAGAGAGAGCUAUCUGACGGAGAAUUCUCAGCAAAAGAAAAAAAAUCUUACGGAGAAUUUAAAGGGGAAGCUUUGUCUUGUUCUUGCAAAAACAAAUAAAGAGAGAGAAAGAGAAAAAGGUUGCUUAGUGAGGGUUUCAACGUUAGAGAGAAAUGAAAAAUGGAAAUAAGAGAAAAAGGAAGAGAGAGAGAGAGAGGGUAUAAGAGUUUAGAGAGAGAAAGAAAGUUACUUGGGUUGAUGGAAAAAGAUGGAGAACCAGCUUUGUUAACAAGUUGGAUAAGGAAAGAGUUUGCUGGAUUACAACAUCUCUUUAGGUGUUUCUUCUUAUUGCUAUUAUUAUCCAUUAAUUUUAAAAUGGUUUGUUAGUUCCUUUGUUAAUUGAUCGAAAUAGAAAAGAUAAGAAAAAAACAACAAUAACUGUGACGCUUUUUUUGUUUGUUUGUUGAAUUUAAUAACUGUGACAGCUAAUUGUUAUUGUGAUGAGGAAAAAAAAAUUAAGUUGUUUGAUGUGUGUUCAUAAAUGAAUUAGAUGGCAUCGAGUGUAUCUUAUUUACUUUAAAAUAAAUAUUAAACGAUUUUUAUUUUAUGUUUUAUGAAGAAAAUAUUUUUUUUAUUCUUAGUUUUUUAACAUGUGGUAGUGAAUAAGCAUUUAAAAAUGGUAGGGGGAAGAGAAACGGUUAAUGGUUUUGAUGAAAUUUUAAAUGUUGAAAAAGAAGUGUAAUUAGAAGGGUGCUGCCUUUUGAUUAGAUUUUUAAAAUGAGAUCAUUAUAAUGAUUAAGUGAUGUAAUGUUUUGUCUCGCGGGGUUUCAUUGAAUGUUUGUGGCCUAGUUUCUUACUAGUGCUUGCUACUAGUAGCUUUUUUAUUUAUUUAUUUAAGUAUUUAUUUAUUUUACUGUUUUUUUUAAUAGUGUUUUAUUACCAAGUCUAUUCCCUGAUACGUGACCGUGACCGGUGUUUUGGGGAGAACCGGAAUCUGUUAACUUUUUUUUGUUUAAUUAUUAAAUUAAUUAAAAAUUUAGAUUUUUAAUAAUUUUUUUUAUUUUUGUCAAUAUUUUUAUUCUUUCUAAAAUUGUUUAUUGUCAUUCAUUUAUUUUUAUUACUCAAAUUAGUUCAUCUAUUUUUAGUCUCUUAUUUAUUUAAUAUUUGAAAAAUAAGUUUAUAAUAAUGAUCUUAAAAUACAUAUUAAUAAUGAUUUUUAAUUGAUUAAGUAUAAUUUUCUUCACAAUAAUAAUGCAUCAGAUUUAAAGUCUUAAAAAAUUAUUAAAUAAAUUUUGCAAGUUAUUUACAUAUUUAUAUUUCAUAACCAUUUAUUUACAUUUUUACACAAGUGUGUUUUUGUUGGACGAGGACUAGCUUGAAUAACUUAUGCCCUGAUGGAACCUUCACAAUAAUGUUAAUUUGAAGGACUUAGUCGUGUUUAAAUUGAUUUAUUUAAAAAAANNNNNNNNNNNNNNNNNNNNNNNNNNNNNNNNNNNNNNNNNNNNNNNNNNNNNNNNNNNNNNNNNNNNNNNNNNNNNNNNNNNNNNNNNNNNNNNNNNNNUGACAUAUUAAAUUGAUGGCAACAAUAUUAAAAAAUAAAGCGACAAUGCUUGUCUUUUGGACGAAAAUAAGAAUUUAGUUAUUUCUUAUACUUAUUAUUUUUUUCCUAGGUGUUGGGGAAUAAAUUACUAUUAUUUUGUACCACCAAAGCCAAACCUUGGUCAAACCGUAAUCUUCCAUUAGUAUUCUUAUUUUAGUAUAUUUUUGUAAACCUAAUCUAGAUUAAAAUGAUAAAUCUUUUUUAUUCUUUUGAUGAGGAUAUGCUCGUUUGGUGAAUGGCGGCACCGCUUAUUGACAAGGAAGAAGCUGUCUUGUAAAUUUAUCAACCUAAUUGGUUGGCCUGUUUUAACUCACUAAAUUAAAUAUUGCAAUUUUAGAAGAGAAAAAAACAAAUAUGUACAACUGAAAAUUUCUUUCCACAGUUCAAUGCUAAUGUUAGUUUCGUGAACUAAACUUUUUAGAUUGUUU